rnacentral:rRNA from 1 species
AGAGUUUGAUCAUGGCUCAGGACGAACGCUGGCGGCGUGCUUAACACAUGCAAGUGGAGCGACGAACCAGGGCUUGCCCUGGGGCAAAGCCGCGAACGGGUGAGUAACACGUGGGUAACCUGCCCCGAUGACCGGGACAACCCGAGGAAACUCGGGCUAAUACCGGAUGUGCUCUCGAGCCGCAAGGCUCGCGAGGAAAGAUAGCUUCGGCCUUCGCAUCGGGAUGGGCCCGCGGCCCAUUAGCUUGUUGGUGAGGUAACGGCUCACCAAGGCUGCGAUGGGUAGCUGGUCUGAGAGGACGAUCAGCCACACUGGGACUGAGACACGGCCCAGACUCCUACGGGAGGCAGCAGUGGGGAAUCUUGCGCAAUGCGCGACAGCGUGACGCAGCAACGCCGCGUGGGGGAAGACGGCCUUCGGGUUGUAAACCCCUUUCAGUUGGGACGAAGCUCCGGUCGUUAAUAGCGGCCCGGAGUGACGGUACCUUCAGAAGAAGCCCCGGCUAACUACGUGCCAGCAGCCGCGGUA